GAUUUUCAAUAUUUUUAUUAUAUAUAUAUAUCUUGAGUGGGAGUGAUUCUCGUAUAUUUAACCCCUUCACUAGAAGCUUCCAGAGAUUUGAUCUGGUAGGUAGCAGGUAGGUACCUAAUAGGAUAAGAAUUGGGGUAGAACGCUGUAUUUACCAUCCAAGAAGCCUGCGUGAUAAUGUUUAAACAUCCUGUAAAUAACACAGCUAUAUUUAGAUUUACUAGCAGUCAGUAGCUAAUGCAGAUAUUAAUUCAAGAAAAU